UGGCGAGUUUGAUCCUGGCUCAGAGCGAACGCUGGCGGCGUACUUAACACAUGCAAGUCGAACGAGGAUCGUCGGGUUAGCAAUAAUUCGGCGGUCCGAGUGGCGUACGGGUGAGUAACACGUGGGUAACCUGCCCUUGAGACCGGGAUACCCUCUCGAAAGGGAGGCUAAUACUGGAUACGUUCCCCGAGUCGCCAGACGCGGGGAGGAAAGGUGGCGCAAGCUACCGCUCUUGGAGGGGCUCGCGGCCUAUCAGCUAGUUGGUGAGGUAACGGCUCACCAAGGCUAUGACGGGUAGCUGGUCUGAGAGGACGACCAGCCACACGGGAACUGAGACACGGUCCCGACUCCUACGGGAGGCAGCAGUGGGGAAUUUUCCGCAAUGGGCGAAAGCCUG
rnacentral:rRNA from 1 species